rnacentral:lncRNA from 1 species
UUUGUUCAUUAAGUAAUGUGUUUUGUUCUCAACCAUAGGAUAUGUAUCUAGAAGCUUCUUGUGUAAGGACUCAACAUCAUUAUUUAUGCACACACGUGAGAAUAUAGGGGAGCAUGUGAUAGGCAGUUGGUAUGGUUGAUGUGUGUAUAUAAUAAGAUAUUGUACAUGCAUUUUAUUUUGAGCCGAAUGAAAUUAAUUUUCUUCUUCCCCAAGUUUUACAUGGUAUCAGAGCAAAUCAAUUUCAUCAUAUCUAGUUUAGAUUUUUUUACAGAAAUUUCUAGAAAUCUUAGAAAUUCCUUGAUUUUCUUCUGUUGAAUAUGGUCUUGAUUGAGGAUUCUGCUUCAGUGAUUCUGCUGCUUCUGUUCCUCCUCUAAUGGCGAAAAUCGAUCGUCUUCAUCCUUACUAUCUUCAUGCAUCAGACUCGCUAGGUAUGGCUUUGGUAUUCUCUGCUUUUGACAGCACUGGAUAUGAAUCAUGGAGGAAAUCUAUCUUACUCUCUUUAUCUGCUAAAAACAAGCUUGGUUUCAUUGACGAGACCUUGGUGAAGCCAAAGGAAAAUUCUGAAUUUUUCAAUCUAUGUACGAGAUGUAAUGAUAUGGUAUUUGCUUGGAUAUUGAAUUAUCUCACCAAGAAAUUAGAUGCAGUAUAAUUCACUCCAAAUAUGUGCAUGAUUUGUGGAAACAGCUUAAGAAAAGAUAUGGACAGUCUAACCUAGCAUAAUUAUUUGAGCUAUAAAAGCAAAUAAUGAAAACUGUACAAGGGUCAAACAAUAUCGCGACAUAUUUCAAUAACAUGAAAGUUAUAUGGGAUGAAAUUAAUCUACUCAAUGCUAGGGCAGUAUGCAGUUCUGUUGACGAUAAGUGUGGAGCUGUGGAGAAAAAUAGUGCACUUGAGAAAAGACAAAAUUUAGUGCAAUUUUUAAUGGGACUCAAUGAACGUAUACUGCUUGUAGAGGUAACAUAAUGAUGAUGAAUCCCUCACCAGACAUUGACCGAGCAUACUUUCUGCUACUACAAGAGGAGAGGCAAAAAAGUAUACAACCUAUGGAAAAUUUACCUACAGAGUCUAGUUCUUUCUCUGUUGCUAGACAAUCAUUCACCAUAGGGUAAUGAAAUCAGAGGUUCAAUAUGCAACAAGGGGAAUCUUGCAACACCUCAAAACCAAACUCCUAUCAGGACUACAAGGGCAAUUCUAAUUGCAAAUAUUGCAAAAAUCCAUGACAUACUAUAAAAAAAUAUUUCAAACUUCAUGGUUAUCCCACGAAUUUUAACAAGGAGGCUUUAAGAACAACAAACCAAGGUAGAAUACACAACCAACAUUCUAUAAUUCAGCACAUAGUAAUGCAAUAAGUACUGAAGCAGAAUCUACUUAAUCUCCAAGUACUGAUGUUACUGUUGGAUCGAAUCAAGAGCAAAUUUCUCAGUUAUUGGAAGUACUACACCAAGUCAAAAUUGCACAAUAAGACACAUCUGGUUCUGAAGCAAAUGUGACAGUUAACUGUGCUGGUAUUACUUUCUUUACUAUCUUAACUACUCCUAAAAACUCUAUUUGUCAUUUUUGGAUAAUGACUCUGGGGCUUCAGAACACUUCACCUUUGAUGAGUCCAUUCUAUUCAACAUUAUGCCCUUACAACAAUCUAUAUUUGGUAACCUACCUAACUUCUUUAGGAUUAAAGUCACUCAUGCAGGUCAAUCUUUUAUUCACCUGAAUUAACUCUAAACAGAGUCCUUUUCGUUCCUAGUUUCAAAUUCAACCUAUUAUCAGUUCAAAAAUUAUGUUUGCAAUUUAAAGCUUGUUUACCUUCUCCGCUACUUGUUUCUUACACGGCCCAUCCUUGAGGAAGCCUCUGGAUCUUGGUAGAGUGAAAGAUGGGCUUUAUCCGCUGCAAACUUUUCACCCUAUUUCUGUUAAUAACCUGCAGACAAAUAAGACAAACUCAUCAUCUGUAAAUAAUUUGUCAUCAGUCUGUUUGCACUUCAUUGUCUAGUUCUGAAAUUUCAUGUGGCAAUCUAUGGCAUGUAAGACGUAGGCAUAUGCACACUUCCAGUAUGAAACACAUUUCUGCAUUGUCACAGAAUGCUUUUACUACUGAUUCUUUUCUUUGUUCUAUUUGUCCCUUAGUCAGGCAACAUAAGCUACCAUUUCCCAACAGUACUACCUCUACAUCACACAUUUUUAAACUUCUACAUAUCGAUACUGGGGACCUUACAAAAUAACUACCCAUUAUGGUUUUAGGUACUUUCUCACUAUAGUUGAUGAUUUUAGUAGGGGUAUUUGGACCUAUCUUUUGAGCACAAAAGGAAAUGCAUUUAGUGUUCUCAAAUCUUUUAUUGCUAUGAUAGAAAGGCUAUUUGCCACCAAAAAUUAAAAUCAUUAGAUCUGAUAAUGCCUUAGAACUGGGGAGUGGUGCUAUUGCUGCCACCUAUUUUCAAUCCAAAGGUAUCUUUCAACAAACUAGUUAUGUGGCCACCCCUCAACAAAAUAGUAUUGUUGAAAGGAAACACAAAUACUUGCUUGAAACUUGUAGAACUUUGCUAUUUCAAUCUAAAGUUCCUACUAUUUACUAGGGUGAGUGCCUUUUGACAACCACUUUCCUUAUCAACAAAUAUCCUACCAAAUUGCUUCACUACAAAACACCCUAUGAGGUUCUUUUUGGCAAAUCUCCUGGUUAUAAUUUUCCUAAGUGUUUUGACUGCCUAUAUUUUUCCUCUACUAUGUCUCAACACAGAGGGAAACUUGAUCCUAGGGCUAUUGCUUGUGUCUUUCUUGGUUACCCUUAUGGAAAGAAAGAUUACAAGCUAGUGAACUUACAAACUAACCGUAUCUUUAUUUCUAAUAAUAUUGUUUUUCAUGAGUCUAUCUUCCCCAUCUUUAUUCUACCUUCUGUUUCUUCCCCACUAUUUUCUGAAUCCCCUACUGUACCUUUUUCCUCAUAUCCUCUCUAUAUACAUAUUACUGCUUCAUCUCUUAUUCCCUCACCUUCUCCUCUCCUUCCUUCUAAUCCUUCCUCUCCUUUCCCUGUAUUCAGGUCAUGAUCUUCUGCCCCAUCAUCUUCUGGUUCUACAUCUUUGGUUGUCUUGCCUCCUUACAGAUCUUUUCGUACCUCCCACUCUGCCUAUUCCUCUUCAUUCUGAUAGUCAGGCCGCGAUUUACAUCGCCAAAAACCCCGUCUUUCACGACCAGACAAAACACGUCGAACUUGGUUGCCAUUUCGUCCGUCGACAGUUUCAAUGUGGCCUCAUUUCUCUUUUUUUUUUCUUCCCACUCGUUCUCAGUUAGCGAACAUUUUUACCAAACCUCUUUCUGGGUCUUCUCAUCGUGAGCUUCUGAGCAAGUUGGGGGUCAUUCUUCCCCCUUCAACUUGCGCGGGGGUGGGGGUGGGGGUGGGGGAGGGGUGGGGGAGGGUGCUGACAGUGGUGGUAUUGUGUUGAGAUAAGGUUGUGGCGGCUAGGGUUAUUGAAGCUCUUGGAUGAUAACAAAUGAGAGAAAGCAAUACACAAAGCUGCCUCAUUAAGCAAUAGCAAGGACACGUGGACUGAUCAUAGCUUUGUUCAUUAAGUAAUGUGUUUUGUUCUCAACCAUAGAAUCUGUAUCUAGAAGCUUUUUGUGUAAAGACUCAACAUAAUUAUUUAUGCACACACGUGAGAAUAUAAGGGAGCACGUGAUAGACGGUUGGGUUGGUUGAUGCGUGUAUACAAUAAGACACUGUAUAGACAUUUCAUUUUGAGCAGAAUGAAAUCAAUUCUCUUCUCCAACUA